rnacentral:rRNA from 1 species
GAUGAACGCUGGCGGCGUGCCUAAUACAUGCAAGUCGAGCGAACAGACGAGGAGCUUGCUCCUCUGACGUUAGCGGCGGACGGGUGAGUAACACGUGGAUAACCUACCUAUAAGACUGGGAUAACUUCGGGAAACCGGAGCUAAUACCGGAUAAUAUAUUGAACCGCAUGGUUCAAUAGUGAAAGACGGUUUUGCUGUCACUUAUAGAUGGAUCCGCGCCGCAUGAGCUAGUUGGUAAGGUAACGGCUUACCAAGGUGACGAUGCGUAGCCGACCUGAGAGGGUGAUCGGCCACACUGGAACUGAGACACGGUCCAGACUCCUACGGGAGGCAGCAGUAGGGAAUCUCCCGCAAGGGGAGAAAGCCUGACGGAGCAACGCCGCGUGAGUGAUGAAGGUCUUCGUAUCGUAAAACUCUGUUAUUAGGGAAGAACAAAUGUGUAAGUAACUAUGCACGUUUUGACGGUACCUAAUCAGAAAGCCACGGCUAACUACGG